rnacentral:ribozyme from 14 species
GCAAAAUGCAAAGGAGCAAAAAAACAAAACGGAAAUGGGUUUGCAAGGAAUUAACACUCAUUUGGUGAAACUGGUAGAUUUUUUUUUUGUUUUGUUUGUUUUCU